ACGGAGGGUGCAAGCGUUAUCCGGAUUCACUGGGUUUAAAGGGUGCGUAGGUGGGUUGGUAAGUCAGUGGUGAAAUCUCCGAGCUUAACUUGGAAACUGCCAUUGAUACUAUCAGUCUUGAAUAUUGUGGAGGUUAGCGGAAUAUGUCAUGUAGCGGUGAAAUGCUUAGAUAUGACAUAGAACACCAAUUGCGAAGGCAGCUGGCUACGCAUAUAUUGACACUGAGGCACGAAAGCGUGGGGAUCAAACAGGAUUAGAUACCCUGGUAGUCCACGCCCUAAACUAUGGAUACUCGACAUAUGCGAUACACUGUAUGUGUCUGAGCGAAAGCAUUAAGUAUCCCACCUGGGAAGUACGAUCGCAAGAUUG
rnacentral:rRNA from 1 species